CUAAACACCGUGUUAUCUGAUUAGGCCUAUCCUAUCGUUGUAUCAAUAAAAGGUUUUAAAAAACCUUUUAUUGAUACAACGAUAGGAUAGGCCUAAUCAGAUAACACGGUGUUUAG